rnacentral:rRNA from 1 species
CAGUAGCGUAUAUUAAAGUUGUUGCAGUUAAGAUGCUCGUAGUUGAAGUUCGGAUGCAGCAGAGCUUGGAAACGCUGUUAUGGUGCUUCCGUUGCUUUUGCUUGUCCACAGUGCGUUGCAAGUACGUAUGUGCUUGUGCGUGCAUUUUACUUUGAGAAACAUAGGGUGUUCCACGCAUGUUACGGCAUGAAUAUUCCAGCAUGGGAUAAUCUGGUACGACUUCCAAUCUGCCAUUUUGGUUCGUAGGUUGGAAGUAAUGAUUAAUAGGGACUGUCGGGGGCAUUGGUAUUUGACUGUCAGAGGUGAAAUUCUUAGAUUCGUUGAGGACCAACCACUGCGAAAGCAUUUGUCAAGCAUGUCUCCAUUAUUAA